UACGGGGGGGGCAAGCGUUGUUCGGAUUUACUGGGCGUAAAGGGCGCGUAGGCGGCAAUUCAAGUCAUCUGUGAAAUCUCCGGGCUUAACUCGGAACGGUCAGAUGAUACUGCUUUGCUAGAGUGCGGAAGGGGCAAUCGGAAUUCUCGGUGUAGCGGUGAAAUGCGUAGAUAUCGAGAGGAACACCAGAGGUGAAGACGGGUUGCUGGGCCGACACUGACGCUGACAGCGCGAAAGCCAGGGGAGCAAACGGG
rnacentral:rRNA from 1 species